rnacentral:lncRNA from 1 species
CCACGCCCCGUCAGGGCCCGGCGUGUGAUGUUCCCCUCCCUGUGUCCCAUGUGUUCUCGCUGUUCAACUCCCACUUAGGAGCGAGAACAUGCGGUGUUUGGUUUUCGCUUCCUGUGUCAGUUUGCUGAGAAUGAGGCCUUCCAGCUUCAUCCACGUUCCCGCAGAGGUCAUGAACUCAUCCUUUUUUAUGGCUGCGUAGUAAUUCCAUGCUGUAUACGUGCCACACUUUCUUUAUCCAGCCUAUCAUUCAUGGGCAUUCGAGUUGGUUCCAAGUCUUUGCUAUUGUAAAUAGUGCUGCAGUAAACAUACGUGUCCACGUGUCUUCCUAGUAGGAACUUCUUCCUCUUCAGCCCGCUGAGUAGCUGGCACUUUAAGGCAGGUGCCAACGCACCGGCAGCAAGCUUCCUUUUUUGCCCGGGAAAAACUGAGGUGCAGGUAGUAUAAGCCAUUGAUCACGGAACGCACAGGAGCAGAGCUCGAGUCCAAGCAUCGUGGCUCCACCCGUCAUGCUGGAUGCAUCUUUAGGCUCCGCUCUAGGUAUGUGUAUCCUUUACGGGAUCAGCCACCGGCAGUUGCCUUGCGAGCACGAUGACAAACCUCUGCCGGCUCUUUUGGGUCUCAUCCCUGUAUCUAUACGUUGCAUCCCAACAUAAAGACCGGAAUGUUCCUUUCGCUGACCCAGUCUCUCACCCUUUCCAAACUCCAGAAAUCUUGUCUGUCCUCGGAAGAACUCCCCCUGCUUCUUUCUCUAAAGGCUGUCUUCAGGCCGGGCACAGUGGGAGGAUCGCUUGAGCCCAGAAGGCCGCAGUGAGGUGAGAUCGCGCCAUUGCACUGCAGCCCCCGGCGGCAGAGCCGGAGCCCCGUCUCGAAACAAACAAACAAAAACCAACCAACCAACCAACCAACCAACAAACAAACACAGACAAAGAAAGAAAGAGCCCAGGCAACCUAGUGAAAACCUGUUCGGGCUGGGGCAUACCUGUACCCCAGCUGUUCCGGAGGCUGAGGCCAGGAGGAUGGGUGGACGCUGGGAGGUGGAUGCUGCAGUGAGCAGUGAUUGCACCACUGCACUCCAGCCUGGGUGACAGAGCCAGACCCCGUCCCAAAUAAAUAAACAUAAAAAUAAAGGAACCAGUUUGUAGAAAGCGGGAGAGGGUCCCAUUGAACUUCAAGCCUUCGAGCAACAGCUGUGGCUGGACAGGUUGGACCAGCAGGCUGGAGCAGUCGCCAUCUUGGCAGGGAUCAUUGACCCUGAUCUAUCGUCGGGAGGAGGAAGAGCUGAUCUUACGCAGGGAGGGCAGGUGGACUAUGUGUGGACUCUGGUGACCUGUUUGGGUGCCAGGUGUUACUCCCAGGGCCACCCGUAACUGUGAAUGUGCAGGAACCCUGACUUGAGAAGGGCCUGGCCACGGGGGGCUUAGGCCCCUGGGGAAUGAGAGUUUGGUUCCCGGUACCCAGGGAAACCACCAGCAUCGGCAGAGGUGAUAGCUGAGGAGGAGCGGGGAUUUGGACGAGAGACACAGGAUGAGUACCGGGGGGCAGCCCCGUGAUCAACAACUGCUGCAAGAGGGGCCGUUUGUUCGACUCGCUAGUCUUCUGCGGCUCUAUGCGGUACUAAAGAGCAGAAGACAGAAGAUACAAAAACCACAAAAAGUAGCCGGGCGUGGUGCUGCCCGUCAAUAAUCCCAGCUACUCGGGAGGCUGAGACAGGAGAAUCGCUUGAACCCGGGAGGCGGAAGUUUCAGCGAGCCGAGAUCACGCCGUUGCAGUCCAACCUGAGCGUCCGAGCGAGACUCUAUCUCAGAAAAUAAAGACAGAAUGAAAGAGCCCGGCGCGGUGGCUUACGCCUGUAAUCCCAGCGCUUUGGGAGGCCGAGGCGGGCGGAUCGCCUGAGGUCAGGAGCUCGAGACCAGCCUGGCCGACAUGGCGAA